GGAGAGCGUUCUAUUUGCGUCGAAGGUAUACCGGUAAGGAGUGCUGGAGCGAAUAGAAGUGAGCAUGCAGGCAUGAGUAGCGAUAAUUAAUGUGAGAAUCAUUAACGCCGUAAACCCAAGGUUUCCUACGCGAUGCUCGUCAUCGUAGGGUUAGUCGGGUCCUAAGUCGAGUCCGAAAGGGGUAGACGAUGGCAAAUUGGUUAAUAUUCCAAUACCAACAUUAGUGUGCGAUGGAAGGACGCUUAGGGCUAAGCAAGCUAGCGGAUGGAAGUGCUAGUCUAAGGAUGUAGGAGCUUAUACAGGCAAAUCCGUAUAAGAAUACUCCGAGAUCUUAAAGGCUCUUUGAAGUCUUCGGAUGGAUAGGAGAAUUGCUGAUGCCGUCGAGCCAAGAAAAGUUUCUAAGUUUAGCUAAUGUUGCCCGUACCGUAAACCGACACAGGUGGGUGGGAUGAGUAUUCUAAGGCGCGUGGAAGAACUCUCUUUAAGGAACUCUGCAAAAUAGCACCGUAUCUUCGGUAUAAGGUGUGGUUCGCUUCGUAUUAGGAUUUACUCCGAAAGCGAAGAAACUUACAACAAAGAGUCCCUCCCGACUGUUUACCAAAAACACAGCACUCUGCUAACUCGUAAGAGGAUGUAUAGGGUGUGACGCCUGCCCGGUGCUCGAAGGUUAAUUGAUGGGGUUAGCAUUAGCGAAGCUCUUGAUCGAAGCCCGAGUAAACGGCGGCCGUAACUAUAACGGUCCUAAGGUAGCGAAAUUCCUUGUCGGUUAAAUACCGACCUGCAUGAAUGGCGUAACGAGAUGGGAGCUGUCUCAAAGAGGGAUCCAGUGAAAUUGUAGUGGAGGUGAAAAUUCCUCCUACCCGCGGCAAGACGGAAAGACCCCGUGGACCUUUACUACAGCUUGACACUGCUAUUUGGAUAAGAAUGUGCAGGAUAGGUGGGAGGCUUUGAGUAUAUGACGCCAGUUGUAUAUGAGCCAUUGUUGAGAUACCACUCUUUCUUAUUUGGGUAGCUAACCAGCUUGAGUUAUCCUCAAGUGGGACAAUGUCUGGUGGGUAGUUUGACUGGGGCGGUCGCCUCCCAAAUAAUAACGGAGGCUUACAAAGGUUGGCUCAGAACGGUUGGAAAUCGUUCGUAGAGUAUAAAGGUAUAAGCCAGCUUAACUGCAAGACAUACAAGUCAAGCAGAGACGAAAGUCGGUCUUAGUGAUCCGGUGGUUCUGUGUGGAAGGGCCAUCGCUCAAAGGAUAAAAGGUACCCCGGGGAUAACAGGCUGAUCUCCCCCAAGAGCUCACAUCGACGGGGAGGUUUGGCACCUCGAUGUCGGCUCAUCGCAUCCUGGGGCUGGAGCAGGUCCCAAGGGUAUGGCUGUUCGCCAUUUAAAGCGGUACGCGAGCUGGGUUCAGAACGUCGUGAGACAGUUCGGUCCCUAUCUGCCGUGGGCGUAAGAAGAUUGAAGAGAUUUGACCCUAGUACGAGAGGACCGGGUUGAACAAACCACUGGUGUAGCUGUUGUUCUGCCAAGAGCAUCGCAGCGUAGCUAAGUUUGGAACGGAUAAACGCUGAAAGCAUCUAAGCGUGAAGCCAACUCUAAGAUGAAUCUUCUCUAAGCUCUCUAGAAGACUACUAGUUUGAUAGGCUGGGUGUGUAAUGGAUGAAAGUCCUUUAGCUGACCAGUACUAAUAGAGCGUUUGGCUUAUCUUUUUU
rnacentral:rRNA from 1 species